AUAUUUUCUCGGCCUUCUGGCUAAAAUCAAGUGUAGUUUCAGUUCUUAUUAGCUUAAUAUCUGGCAUGUAGGCCAUAUUAGUUGUUUGAAGAACAAAUUUAA
rfam:Zea mays cultivar B73 chromosome 4, whole genome shotgun sequence.